CUUCUUAGCAUUUCCCGGGGUGGGGUCAUUUAUAACUUGUCAAAAAUAUUUUUAUGACCAAAUUCACAUUCUUUAGUGUAGACAUACAUCUUUGUAUGAUUUCAUGACUGUUUGGUAAUAGAUCCCUGAAUGGUCAAAACCUCUUCAAAUAGAAGUAUGUUUGUAGCACAAAAUAUCUUACAUGUAGGCCAUCUUUCACUCUCCCAUCAUGUCACAAGCGAACAGGCUCCCAAAGGCAGGGCCAUAAAAGGCCCUUGCCCCUCCCCUCUCCAACAGCCAUCAGCCCAGAACAGCAUGAAGACAAAACAGCUAAAAGAUAAUCUGGGAAUCCUUCCUUCCUCAUUAAGUUUUUGAAGGAAAAAGACAAAAGACAUAACAUUGACUCCUGAGUGUUGAACCUUUCCCCACUCUACAGCCACCCUGGUUAUUACAUGACCCUGAGGGUCAUCUACGAACAUUGGAACAUAUUGAAUAACAAUAAGUGGCACAUGUACUCUUAAAUGUCCACACAGCACAGCCCUCGGAGCAUGGUUCCUCUAUAAUUUUGUUCCAAGGUUUAACCAAAACCUUAACAUGACUACUUGCAAUUUCAUUAUUAUUCGUCACCAUGCAUCAAUGAUUGAAUUGCGUUCUUUUUCUUUGCACAUGCGCCAAGCUUCCAAUGGCUGGAGCCAAGCAAUAUGGUACAUGAAAAAGACCCAAAUAAAACAUAUGU